rnacentral:tRNA from 1 species
GGGGAUGUAGCUCACUGGGAGAGCACUUGUUUUGCAUGUAUGAGGCCCUGGGUUCAAUCCCAAAUAUCUCCA